AAAUAUCUUUUAUUGUCAUUUCUCUAGAACCAAGAUGAGACAUUGUAUACCAUCUCAAUUCUGAUGCAUUCAAGUGUUGUUUUAAUUUACAUUAUCAUGACUGGUCUUUUAUCUGACAGUACCUGUGGAUCCUCAUCUUCUUUGCCUGGAAGGCAAAGAGCUGCUUCCUCCUCUGAGGUUCUAGCUUCUUCUGUAUUGGUUGAUGGUGAGAUUUUGAAUGAUUAUAGAGCUUCUUCAGGAGAUUCUGUAAUGUUUUCACCUUAGAGGAAUAGCUUCAUUGUCACUUGCAGAUAGAAGCAUCUGAAGGACCUCACCAUUUACAGGGAAUCUUUUCAUUUGAACUGUAUCCUGGACAUUCUCCAUAAUAUCAGUAAACAUUUUUGAAAAGCGAUGAGUCUGUUAUGCUUUGCUU
rnacentral:lncRNA from 1 species